rnacentral:ncRNA from 10 species
GCUCUGCAUCAAGAGCCGACUUGUCGGCGCCAACCUGCCUCCCCGGGCAAGGUGGCUAGCGAAAGCGGAUGCGGCCUUGAGGCAACCAAGCGGGAGCA